rnacentral:rRNA from 1 species
GACGAACGCUGGCGGCGUGCUUAACACAUGCAAGUCGAACGGAAAGGCCCUGCUUUUGUGGGGUGCUCGAGUGGCGAACGGGUGAGUAACACGUGAGUAACCUGCCCUUGACUUUGGGAUAACUUCAGGAAACUGGGGCUAAUACCGGAUAGGAGCUCCUGCUGCAUGGUGGGGGUUGGAAAGUUUCGGCGGUUGGGGAUGGGCUCGCGGCUUAUCAGCUUGUUGGUGGGGUAGUGGCUUACCAAGGCUUUGACGGGUAGCCGGCCUGAGAGGGUGACCGGCCACAUUGGGACUGAGAUACGGCCCAGACUCCUACGGGAGGCAGCAGUGGGGAAUAUUGCACAAUGGGCGGAAGCCUGAUGCAGCAACGCCGCGUGCGGGAUGACGGCCUUCGGGUUGUAAACCGCUUUCGCCUGUGACGAAGCGUGAGUGACGGUAAUGGGUGAAGAAGCACCGGCUAACUACGUG